UAAUGAAUAUCAGUGCAAUUCUCCUUUGGCAGGAAUAAGUAUGAUAUAGGCAUAUAAUUAAGCUUGUGCAUCUAUGCUAGACCUGGUUACUGCCAAAGGAGAAUUGCCCUGUUAUUCAAUU
rfam:Jatropha curcas cultivar GZQX0401 scaffold684_63, whole genome shotgun sequence.